UGAUGAAGGCCCUAGGGUUGUAAAGCUCUUUUUGUGCGGGAAGAUAAUGACGGUACCGCAAGAAUAAAGCCCCCGGCUAACUUCGUGC
rnacentral:rRNA from 1 species